CAGGUUUCAUUUCUUACUGACUCCUAGGGUCCAAGAUUUAGGCAAGGGUAGGAUAUUAAUUUCCAGACCUAAACCUGACGUAAGUUACAGUGCUCUAGUUGUCAUUUAAACUUCAGGUGUGUUUUUCUUCUAUUCCAGGUACUCCAGAGCAGCCUUGUAAUCCCUGAAUCCUACUGAACUCAGACCCUGGUGAUAUAUCAGUGUCAAAGGAAUGCAACUGGUAAUUCUGCCUGUCUGUUAAACUGCCUUGUGUCACCCUGAUUCCAAUGGCUGCUGACAAGUGUUCUUGCUUGAGAUCCUGGAGUGGAGCUAAGGAACGAAAUUUCUUACAUUGUUGAUGCCUCAUUUCCUCAUUAAUGCCACAAAGAUUUAUGUGAAGGGACUUCGACAGUGCUAAUGGAAUUACCCACCUAAAUCUCCCCCACACUGAUGGCAGGGAACGCUGUGGCUCUUUGCCCUCAUGUUAGUGCUGGAUGCAUUAUGAGACCAGUGCUGAUAUGCUGACUGUGUGAGUUUCCUUGAUUUUAAGGAAAUUUUCUGAGCCCCUCUGUCUGCUUGUUCCUGGUUGUGCUGAUGUCGCUGAUGUGAAUAUAAUCUCUACUGAGCAGCUACAGCAUAGAGAGAAAUCCAUUAAAACUCUGAGUGACAGGAUGAUCCUGGAUGAACAGGCUGAAUCAAUGGACCAGCCUGUGCUUUGUGAGUUUCGAUGAUCUUCCCUCAGAUGCUAAAAGGAAACCUGUUUGUGUUUGGACACCCAGAGAAGAUGAUACAAAGAAAGCAAGGUCUCUUGUUGGUAAAGCACCAAAAGUAUCUUCUGGUCUUGAGCAGCAGUCCAGUGUCUCUCAAGUGUUUUCUCCCUGUGUGUCACCCUCCAAGUUUGCACACAGAUGUCCCCAGCACAGCAAAGGAUGGAGGAAGGCAGCCAGAGCUCAGGUGAUACCCAGCCCUGGUGGUGGGGACAGACUGAGGGCUCUGUGUCACCACUAAGCAGCAAGUCAGGCAUGUGCGCUUCUCUGCCACCACCAAAGUCCCUUCAUUCUGGGGUGCCUGACCCCUGCAUGGGUAUGGCCAGGCCUGAAUCUGUUGGUUUUCCUUUCCUGUACUCUUUCCCCAGUAAGUCACUUUGCCAGUUUGCAUCCUUCCCUUGCAGGAAAAAAGAAUGGGAUGGGGGAGGCAGAGAGGAUCAGGAGGAUGUGGCUCUUAGAGACAUUUUGGGAUCUCAUCAGCCAUGGGCACCCACCUCAGUGGAGCCAGGAGAUCCCUGUGGAUGGGCAGCUGCAUUCCACAGCAAUUGCAUCCAUCCCAUCCCUGCAGGGGAUGUGGGUCCCUGUGACCAUGGUCUCAUAUUUCAUUUCCGAAGAACUACAGAGUAUCUUCUGGUGUUAAAUUCUGUCUCGCUGACGUGUUAGUUGAGUCAGAGUUCAAUUCAGCAUCAACCUGAAACACAGCUUGGGACUAUUAGUACAGUUCCUAAUUUGAGCUGUGCUUAUGAGCCUUCAGCUUGAGUUUGUUCUCUCACUGGAGUAAUCGUUUACUUCAGCAUAGUUUUUUUUUUUAAUUCAUACCCCUCCUCUCAGCACACACAGACCUCACAAAGAUUUUCAUGCAUUUAAAUGAAAAAGCCAAACAGUUGCCUUUCCUCGUUCACAUUAUGCAGCAUUGCCCUUCUACUUUGCCCUAUUUCAGAGCUGUCAUGGAAAUAAACCUUACUUUAAAAAAAAAAUCAUUAAAAAGUGUGCAUCCUAUCAGCCUUUUGUCUCCUUCUUGUGCUGUAUCUGCAGGAAGAAAUCCCUUCCUUUUGCCUUCCUCUUUCAGGUGUUUCCAUUUCUUUCCUAACUGUGAUCCAGCAUCUUUAUGGUUCCCCAGUUUCCCAGGAAACAAUCCCUGACUGCCUUUUCCCCAACGUGUAGUAUUCACUGUUCCAUGAAGCUAGUGUUUCCUGAAGGGUUUUACUGUGGGCUUUUCCCCUAAACUACUCCAGAAGUGGGAAUUCUCCUUUUCUGUCCCUAUACUGGGGCAGCCCCUUUCCUUUACCCAGCUGAGUGUAUCUGGAUGAAGCAGUCAUUGUAUUUUCUACCUCCAUCACUGCAGCAUCUGACUGAAUUUAGCAUUAUUUCUUUGAAUCAUGUGAGUGUACUGAUCGGUCAUUCUUCUGCAAGGCAUUCUGCGUGGUCCCCAUGGGAUUGCCAUGCUGGCCACAGAACAGAGAUCCUCUUUGGCAGACACUAAAGAUGGAAAAAGCAAAUCUGGCUCCAGGAUUUGUGGUGUGCAGUCACUGGAGGGAGGGUGUGUCAGCAGAAAGGAUCAUUUGUCCUUGGCACGAGUGCAUGGUACUUGUUAUUUGCUCUCCUGGGCUACAACCCUUAACCCAACUAAGACACAGCUAAAAAAAAACUCCCCAGAAGGAGAAAACCACUGGAAAAUGAGAAAAAACCAAAACAGCCAACCCUAAAAAUUAUCCCAGGAUAUAUGAUGGGGCAGG